CGCACAAGUAGCGGAGCAUGUGGUUUAAUUCGAAGCAACGCGAAGAACCUUACCUAAGCUUGACAUCCCAAUGACAUCUCCUUAAUCGGAGAGUUCCCUUCGGGGAUAUUGGUGACAGGUGGUGCAUGGUUGUCGUCAGCUCGUGUCGUGAGAUGUUGGGUUAAGUCCCGCAACGAGCGCAACCCUUGUCUUUAGUUGCCAUCAUUAAGUUGG
rnacentral:rRNA from 1 species